CCCUUAGAUGUUCUGGGCCGCACGCGUGCUACACUGAGUGGAUCAGCGGGUCAGGUUGCGCGAAAGUGUUUCCUAAUCUUUAAAUCCGCUCGUGAUGGGGAUUGACGGUUGCAAUUUUCCGUCAUGAACGAGGAAUACCUUGUAAGCGCGGGUCAUCAUCCCGCGCUGAAUACGUCCCUGCCCUUUGUACACACCGCCCGUCGCUCCCACCGAUUGAGUGGUCCGGUGAGGCUUUGGGAUCUGAGCGGAAAGAGCGUUUCGCUGUUUCUGCCCGGAAAACUCAGUCGAACCUUAUCAUUUAGAGGAAGGAGAAGUCGUAACA
rnacentral:rRNA from 1 species